rnacentral:rRNA from 1 species
GCCUAUGGUCUCCCCACCCUGAAACCACCCAAUCCUGUCUGAUCUCAGAAGCUAAGGUGGUCCAAGCCUGGUUAGUACCUGGAUGGGGGCCCACCUGGGAAUACCAGGUGUCAAUUGACU